CCACUCCUUGUGUGAAAAAGGUCAGAAUCAAUGAUGAUGGAUAGAAAAUAACUCAAUCUAGCAAUGUUUCAACAUUUAAUUAAAAUGCCUCAGCAUUCCUGGAGAUGCUCACCCUCGCUCACAUGCUAUGUUUCAAGAAAAUAUCAAACUGCCCAAGUCCGCUGGUCUUCAUUCAUGCUGUGAAGUAGAAGCACGGAGUUGUGUGACAAAGCAGGCAUAUUACCAGAUGGACCCCCCCACACUGAUCUGUGAGAGAGGU